rnacentral:rRNA from 1 species
CCUACGGGAGGCAGCAGUGAGGAAUAUUGGUCAAUGGUCGGGAGACUGAACCAGCCAAGCCGCGUGAGGGAGGAAGGUACAGAGUAUCGUAAACCUCUUUUGUCAGGGAACAAAGGCGGGGACGUUUCCCCGGAUGAGUGUACCUGAAGAAAAAGCAUCGGCUAACUCCGUGCCAGCAGCCGCGGUAAUACGGAGGAUGCGAGCGUUGUCCGGAUGUAUUGGGUUUAAAGGGUGCGUAGGCGGGCUUUUAAGUCAGCGGUAAAAAUUAGGGGCUCAACCCCGUCCGGCCGUUGAAACUGGGGGCCUUGAGUGGGCGAGAGGAAGGCGGAAGGCGUGGUGUAGCCGUGAAAUGCAUAGAGAUCACGCAGAACCCCGAUUGCGAAGGCAGCCUUCCGGCGCCCUACUGACGCUGAGGCACGAAAGUGCGGGGAUCGAACAGGAUUAGAUACCCCUGUAGUC